GAGUGAGAGAGAGAGAGAGAGAGAGAGAGAGAGAGAGAGAGAGAUUCUCUAAUAAAGAACUGUUACAUAUUUGUAUGUCUGUGAGAGAGAGGGAGAGAGAGAGAGAGUUAUGUUCCCUCUCUCUCUCUCUCUCUCUCUCCCCCCAAACGGAUGCAC
rnacentral:miRNA from 1 species